rnacentral:rRNA from 1 species
AUACGGAGGAUCCGAGCGUUAUCCGGAUUUAUUGGGUUUAAAGGGUGCGCAGGCGGGAGAUUAAGUCGGCGGGGGAAUUUUUCAGCUCAACUGUAAAAGUGCCUUCGAAACUGGUUUUCUUGAGUGUAGAUGAAGGAGGCGGCAUUUGGGGUGUAGCGGUGGAAUGCAUAGAUAUCACGAGGAACUCCGAUUGCGCAGGCAGCUUACUAAACUACUACUGACGCUCAGGCACGAAGGCGUGGGGAUCAAACAGGAUUAGAUACCCUGGUAGUCCACGCAGUAAACGAUGAUUACUAGCUGUUUGCGAUACAAUGUAAGCGGCUGAGCGAAAGCGUUAAGUAAUCCACCUGGGGAGUACGUUCGCAAGAAUGAAACUCAAAUGAAUUGACGGGG